rnacentral:lncRNA from 1 species
ACCAUUUGCCUGAAGCUCCUCAUCCCCUUCCUUGUGCCUCCUCAGAAUUCUACCAGUGCACCUCAUUCAGACAUUCAUCAAGAAAAAGGCCAGCUGAAGGCAGACAGCCAACAAAACUCAGUCGUUAGCCACAGCCCUGGCUGUCCUCGUCCAUCAAGCCUGCCCAUUGUGAGCUUCCAUUCAUCUUACCUGUCUGUUAUGGAAGAGUGAAGUGGAAAAGGCAUGGAGGACUCAGAAGACCUGCUACCGAGAAGAGCCCCAUUGCAAUCAGAAGAUUAUUUAUGGAAAAAAGCAAAAUGGAGAUAUUUAAAAGACGGAGAGAGACAGCAGAAAGCUGCUUAAGAAAUUGCUUUGAGUCCACAGGAGGGAAGCACAAAGGAGAUGGGAUAAUAGUGUUAUACACUACAUGGGAACCCUGGCAGCCAGACAAUAAGAAGGCUAAACAACAACAACAACAACAACAACAAAAAUCACCUCUAUUUGGCCUACUACUCCCUCAAACAUUAAACUAUUUGCCUUGAAAAGAACAAAGAAAGUAUGAGACAAUGUCUUGCUCUGUUGGUCAGGCUGGAGAGCAGUGGCCCAAUCAUUGCACUGCAGCCUCGAACUCCUCAGCUCAAGUGAUCCUCUUGCCCUCAGCCCCCCAAGUAGCUCGGACUACAGGUAUGCACCACUAUACUUGGCUAAUUUUUAAUUUUUUUUGUAGAGACAGGGUUUUGCUAUGUUGCUCAGGCUGGUCUCAAACUCCUAGCCUCAAGUGAUCCUUCCACUUCAGCCUCCCAAAGUGCUGGGAUUAUAGAGACGAGCUACUGUGCCAGGCCAACAUAGGCUAGGUGAGGAGAGAAAAAAGGCACAAACUGGUCAUCUUAGACAUUGAGUGAAUGAACUGAAAAAAUACAGUUGAAUUGCCAGGAGGCUCUAAGGGCCCAUUUGAGAUGCGUGAUCAUCAAUGUAAAACUUGAUCAGUUUCUUUUUAUGGAACAUACUUACCCUAUUUUUCUGCCUUUUAUGAAGGAUUAUCAUAUCGUCAUUGCCUCUGGGAAGCACUGGAUAUUUCUGCCUCCAUCCCCUCCUCCCAUUCAUGCUUCUCAGUUUCUUUCCCCUGUUCCUUCAUUCCUGGGAAAGAAAUUACUGGAUUUCCCUUUUGACUUUCUGGAACAUCUUACACACAUCUUUAUCAUAACACUCUUAAAUAAACUAAUUAUUUCUUUACAUUUCUGCUUUUAUACUUACCCUCAUUGUGCAUGAGUUUCUAUUUCAGGUCC